rnacentral:rRNA from 1 species
AGCGAACGCUGGCGGCAGGCUUAACACAUGCAAGUCGAACGGGCAUCUUCGGAUGUCAGUGGCAGACGGGUGAGUAACACGUGGGAACGUACCCUUCGGUUCGGAAUAACUCAGGGAAACUUGAGCUAAUACCGGAUACGCCCUUUUGGGGAAAGGUUUACUGCCGAAGGAUCGGCCCGCGUCUGAUUAGCUUGUUGGUGGGGUAACGGCCUACCAAGGCGACGAUCAGUAGCUGGUCUGAGAGGAUGAUCAGCCACACUGGGACUGAGACACGGCCCAGACUCCUACGGGAGGCAGCAGUGGGGAAUAUUGGACAAUGGGCGCAAGCCUGAACCAGCCAUGCCGCGUGAGUGAUGAAGGCCUUAGGGUUGUAAAGCUCUUUUGUCCGGGACGAUAAUGACGGUACCGGAAGAAUAAGCCCCGGCUAACUUCGUG